rnacentral:rRNA from 1 species
CCUACGGGGCGCAGCAGUGAGGAAUAUUGGUCAAUGGACGAGAGUCUGAACCAGCCAAGUAGCGUGAAGGAUGACUGCCCUAUGGGUUGUAAACUUCUUUUAUAUGGGAAUAAAACGUUCCACGUGUGGGAUUUUGUAUGUACCAUAUGAAUACGGAUCGGCUAACUCCGUUCCAGCAGCCGCGGUAAUACGGAGGAUCCGAGCGUUAUCCGGAUUUAUUGGGUUUAAAGGGAGCGUAGGUGGAUUGUUAAGUCAGUUGGGAAAGUUUGCGGCUCAACCGUAAAAUUGCAGUUGAAACUGGCAGUCUUGAGUACAGUAGAGGUGGGCGGAAGUCGUGGUGUAGCGGUGAAAUGCUUAGAUAUCACGAAGAACUCCGAUUGCGAAGGCAGUUCACUGGACUGCAACUGACACUGAGGCUCGAAAGUGUGGGUAUCAACCAGGAUUAGAUACCCGAGUAGUC